ensembl:lncRNA
UCUGCUUUUUUUUUUUAUUACAGUAUUUUCUAGUUUAAGUAUUGCACGUCCAAGUUAGUUUAACAAACAAUAGUGCAAUUGACUAUACACGCGUUACAAACAGAAGGUACCAUGCGGCAUACAAACAAAGAUAAUACCAAGUAAACCCAUUUAGUUGGAUUCAGUUCUGUUUCCUAGUUACACAGACAGAGGGAGGGGCCUCGGGGAGAGAGCGGAGCUGCCUGCAGCUGCAGUAUAAAAGUGAGGGGCUGUCCAGGGUGCUGUGCGUCCUAUGGGCAAAAGGCCGGGCCAUAACGUCAUGAUGGCUCCUUCCUGAGGAAGACUUCCAAGUCUGGCUUAGAAGUAUGAGGGGGGUCUGUGAAGACCGUUAUAACAGGAUCCUUGGGGUCGCCACGUCAACCAAGUAGAAACACAAAAUGGUCAAAGUGUGGCCCAUUAGUUUUAUUAUCCGCGUUUGUCUGCUGACCAUGAUGCCUGCUGUCCAACUGUACAGGCACGAUGGGGUUUACAGGGCAAAGCAGCCCUUAGAUUAGAAUAGCGACGCCCAAAGGGUCCCAGAUAGCCAUGAACAAGGGAGUGGGGAUCAUAAUAGACUGAGCUCAUACUAAAACCUAUAUAUGCACAUUUUUAUGUGGCCAUUUUAUGUUUUGUCAGAUUACAAAAUUCAACUUUAUUCAGACGGGGUGUAAGAUUUUAACGUCUGUGUUUACUCUUGCUAAAGCUUAUAAAGUGUAUCUUUGGUCCAUGCUAAAACUUUGGUGAUUUGAAUUAACUUCUUAAAAUCUGUCAGACAGGUACUGUAGUGAACACAGAAAGACAAUGUGAUGUGAAAUAUUGUCAAUAAUGUAAUAAUGUUACAUUUUAGUAAUAUGGCUGAUUGGAUCUAAAGGAGAGAUUCAUGAAAAAAUAAAUCUGGUAGAUCCUGGCAGAAAGGAUUUUAGGAUGGUGGCACUAAAACCCAAAGUCAGAUGAACUUUUGGGUACCAGUUUAAAGUCUCAUGUAUAACGUUGAGUAAAUUUACUAGCAUUAGUGUUAUUGCUAACAGCACAAUUACCGGAAGUCCACAGGAACAAUUAGCAUGUAUAACAUUGUAUUUCAAUAAUGCUACAAUAUAACUCCUAUGCUCUUUGAGAGACAAAAACAGUAUUCAAGUUCAUCUGAAUUCAGGGAAGUAGAUAAAGAACAUCAAGUCCCAAACCCAAACCACCUAUUUAAGACAAACCAGAAUGGAUGACAGGGUAAAGCACAACUUGUGUCCCCACACACAUGAAUAACAACAUCAAUAGCCAGGACAUCAUUGGUUCUGUAUGUCAGCUCAUCAGGGGAAAGUUUACCAGCGGUCUGCAAGGUGGAUAUGAUGCCCGCGUUACUUCCUGGGGUUAGGUGACUUCAUCAGAUUCACAUAGUGCCGUUUUAAAACCGCUCCCAGCCAGAAACAGAGAUUGGGAAACACAUGUCCCUUUAUUUGUAGUUUCAGGCCCUUCUCUAUGAUCAAUAUUGGAUGAAAAAACUAUGAGAAAAUAGUGACAGACUUCUUAAAUGCUCAUAUUAACCGUUAGCUAAAGAGGGGUCAUAAUUUUUCAUGUCAUGGGUAAUAGCUCAGACAAGCAGCAUCUCAAUAAAGAGGGGAAAUCAGAGCAUUAGCAGAAACAACACAGACAUACAAUUCAUAGCCCAGCAUCCUGCCCUUUCUUUAACACGGCCUUAGUUCCCAUUCUUUCUAAAACUUUGUCCAAUCAAAGUGUUCCAUCUGAAAAUCUUGUCCAAUCAAAGUUUCCCAUCCCGUGGUAUAGUCCCUCCUACCCACUUGACAGUUCCAACAGGAGGAGGUCUGUGUCCAUGACAGCCAGAGUGACUUACAAAGCUCCAACAUCUGGUUCCAGUUCAAGUUCACACGGCUUGCUGCCUCAACAGUUCCAGGUAAUGCAAGCCUGGCUGAGUUCCUAUGAAAACAGACCUUUUCAAACUGUCUAUCUGUCUGUCUGUCUGUCUGUCUGUCUGUGUGAGUGAGAAAGAGUGAAGUGAGGAUGGUGUGACUCAGUUAAGUCUGAAUACCACCCCCCCCCCCCUUUUUUUUCUCCUUCUAUUCCAGCAGUGUGCGAAGGAUCUUCUAGGAAAGGCAGAUAAUGUUCUAGGAAAGCCAGAUCUCCACAUGUAGAAAAACAUAGCAAAGACACGUUGGUAUCGCUGCCCAAGGCACUGUUUGUUCUCUGCUCUGUCUCCUGCCUCUGUAAGAGCAGAACAGCCCUGGUGCUGCCGGGUCUCUACCUGGAGUACAGAGGGCCUCUGUCAGCCGGAGGGGGCCACACCUCUGGUCCCGUGCCUCCAGUUGUCGGGGGUGCUGGGGCCCCGACGUGGGAACAGGAAGAGGGAUGUGACACCUCAUCAGCAUCCACAUUGGUUUCUGUGGGUUUCGAGGCUCACUUACUAAACAGGCUCCCCUCUUCUCCUCUCUCCUUACUCCUUCAGCUGGAAAGCUCAGCGAGGUUUAUUUUCACGGAUGAGGAGUAAAAACAGCGCUCUCUUUGUUUUGGCUGCCGUGCUGUUCCCAGCGGAGGAGGUGGAGGAGCAGAGCGCCGGGUCUGAGGGGGGGCUGAGGGAGACCACAGGCCGGGG